UACGGGAGGCAGCGGUGGGGAAUAUUGCACAAUGGGCGCAAGCCUGAUGCAGCCAUGCCGCGUGUAUGAAAAAGGCCUUCGGGUUGUAAAGUACUUUCAGUCGUGAGGAAGGUGUUAAGGUUAAUAACCUUAGCAAUUGACGUUAGCGACAGAAGAAGCACCGGCUAACUCCGUGCCAGCAGCCGCGGUAAUACGGAGGGUGCGAGCGUUAAUCGGAAUUACUGGGCGUAAAGGGCACGCAGGCGGUUAAUUAAGUUGGAUGUGAAAUCCCCGGGCUUAACCUGGGAAUGGCAUUCAAGACUGGUUAGCUAGAGUCUUGUAGAGGGGGUAGAAUUCCAUGUGUAGCGGUGAAAUGCGUAGAGAUGUGGAGGAAUACCGGUGGCGAAGGCGGCCCCUGGACAAAGACUGACGCUCAUGUGCGAAAGCGUGGGGAGCGAAACAGGGAUUAGAUACC
rnacentral:rRNA from 1 species